rnacentral:rRNA from 1 species
AACUAACAUUGGCGGCAGGCCUAACACAUGCAAGUCGAGCGAGGUUUAGAACCGAGCGGCGAACGGGUGGGUAAUGCAUCGGAACGUGCCCGGUCGUGGGGGAUAACGCAGCGAAAGCUGCGCUAAUACCGCAUACGAUCUGAGGAUGAAAGCGGGGGACCGUAAGGCCUCGCGCGAUCGGAGCGGCCGAUGUCAGAUUAGGUAGUUGGUGGGGUAAAGGCUCACCAAGCCAACGAUCUGUAGCUGGUCUGAGAGGACGACCAGCCACACUGGGACUGAGACACGGCCCAGACUCCUACGGGAGGCAGCAGUGGGGAAUUUUGGACAAUGGGCGAAAGCCUGAUCCAGCAAUGCCGCGUGCAGGAAGAAGGCCUUCGGGUUGUAAACUGCUUUUGUACGGAGCGAAAAGGUCUCCUCUAAUACAGGGGGCUCAUGACGGUACCGUAAGAAUAAGCACCGGCUAACUACGUGCCAGCCGCCGCCGUAA